rnacentral:rRNA from 1 species
GACGAACGCUGGCGGCGUGCUUAACACAUGCAAGUCGAACGGAAAGGCCCUGCUUUUGUGGGGUGCUCGAGUGGCGAACGGGUGAGUAACACGUGAGUAACCUGCCCUUGACUUUGGGAUAACUUCAGGAAACUGGGGCUAAUACCGGAUAGGAGCUCCUGCUGCAUGGUGGGGGUUGGAAAGUUUCGGCGGUUGGGGAUGGACUCGCGGCUUAUCAGCUUGUUGGUGGGGUAGUGGCUUACCAAGGCUUUGACGGGUAGCCGGCCUGAGAGGGUGACCGGCCACAUUGGGACUGAGAUACGGACCAGACUCCUACGGGAGGCAGCAGUGGGGAAUAUUGCACACUGGGCGGAAGCCUGAUGCAGCAACGCCGCGUGCGGGAUGACGGCCUUCGGGUUGUAAACCGCUUUCGCCUGUGACGAAGCGUGAGUGACGGUAAUGGGUAAAGAAGCACCGGCUAACUACGUG